rnacentral:snRNA from 1 species
GUGCUCAUGUCACCAGCACAUAUACUAAAACUGAAAUGAUACAGAAAAGAUUAGCAUGGCCCCUGUAUAAGGAUGACAUGCAAAUUUGUGAAGUGUUCCAUAUUAAA